AUCAAUAGCAUUAAUAAGGUCAGUUGAGGUCCGUUGAUGUUCUCAGUCAAUGAAUGGCCAGCGGGAUUGGCAUUCGGCUUCUGCAGCUCUGCUGAUGCUGGAUGUACGUCACCGUCCAUAGGGGACCCUCAGCACUUAGUGGGGACGCAGGUAAGAGGGCAAAUGGUUGGAAAACGGGCUGUAGUGGUCAUGAUACAGGGAGGAAAAAAAUGCAA